AACUCAUAUUCACGUCCAACCAUCACCAGCAGUCAACACAGACAGUGGGGACUACUUGCAGCCCAGCAGGAGCCCAGGACAGGACGGCAUCCAGGAGGCAG